rnacentral:rRNA from 1 species
UACAGAGGUGGCAAGCGUUUUUCGGAUUCACUGGGCUUAAAGCGCGUGUAGGCGGCCGCGUAAGUACUUCGUGAAAUCCCACGGCUUAACCGUGGAAGUGCGAGGUAUACUGCGUGGCUUGAGGCAGGCAGGGGUGCCUGGAACUCUAGGUGGAGCGGUGAAAUGCGUAGAUAUCUAGAGGAACGCCCGUGGCGAAAGCGGGGCACUGGGCCUGAACUGACGCUAAGACGCGAAAGCGUGGGGAGCAAACGGG